AAAUUGAAGAGUUUGAUCAUGGCUCAGAUUGAACGCUGGCGGCAGGCCUAACACAUGCAAGUCGAACGGUAACAGGAAGCAGCUUGCUGCUUCGCUGACGAGUGGCGGACGGGUGAGUAAUGUCUGGGAAACUGCCUGAUGGAGGGGGAUAACUACUGGAAACGGUGGCUAAUACCGCAUAACGUCGCAAGACCAAAGAGGGGGACCUUCGGGCCUCUUGCCAUCAGAUGUGCCCAGAUGGGAUUAGCUAGUUGGUGAGGUAACGGCUCACCAAGGCGACGAUCCCUAGCUGGUCUGAGAGGAUGACCAGCCACAC
rnacentral:rRNA from 2 species